rnacentral:rRNA from 1 species
AGAGUUUGAUCAUGGCUCAGGACGAACGCUGGCGGCGCGCCUCAUACAUGCAAGUCGAGCGAGAACCAGGGCUUGCCCUGGGGAGAGCGGCGAACGGGUGCGUAUCACGUGAGCAACCUGCCUCAGAGACCGGGAUAACCCGAGGAAACUCGAGCUAAUACCGGAUGCCCUCGGUGGAUCGCAUGGUCCGGCGAGGAAAUGGAUUCCGCUCUGAGAUGGGCUCGCGGCCUAUCAGCUUGUUGGUGGGGUAAUGGCCUACCAAGGCGACGACGGGUAGCUGGUCUGAGAGGACGAUCAGCCACACUGGGACUGAGACACGGCCCAGACUCCUACGGGAGGCAGCAGUAGGGAAUCUUGCGCAAUGGGCGAAAGCCUGACGCAGCGACGCCGCGUGCGGGAUGAAGGCCUUCGGGUCGUAAACCGCUUUCAGCAGGGACGAAAUUGACGGUACCUGCAGAAGAAGGCCCGGCCAACUACGUGCCAGCAGCCGCGGUA